ensembl:misc_RNA Metazoa_SRP Metazoan signal recognition particle RNA
GCCGGGCACGGUGGCGUGUGCCUGUAAUCCCAGCUACUUGGGAAGCUGAGGCAGGAGAAUUGCUUGAAUCCGGGAGGUGGAGGAUGCAGUGAAUCGAGAUCAUGCCACUGCAUUCCAGCCUGGAUGAUGGAGUGAGAACCUGUCUUUA